rnacentral:rRNA from 1 species
UACGUAGGCAGCAAGCGUUGUUCGGAAUUACUGGGCGUAAAGAGUGUGUAGGCGGUGCUCUAAGUUCGGUGUGAAAUCUCCCGGCUCAACUGGGAGGGUGCGCCGAAAACUGGAGUGCUGGAGCGCGGGAGAGGAAAGCGGAAUUCCUGGUGUAGCGGUGAAAUGCGUAGAUAUCAGGAGGAACACCGGUGGCGAAGGCGGAUCUCUGGGCCAUUACUGACGCUGAGGAGCGAAAGCGUGGGGAGCGAACAGG